CUUUCUGUGGGUUAAACUUCCGCAAACGUCGGCUUCUUGUUUCUUUUCCAAGUUGGUUUCAGAAGGCACAGGACAUUAGUUUUGUACGGAUAUAAAAUCCGGAAAAAUCCAAGAAUUCUAGAGGAAUCUAGAAUUCUUUAAACCUCAGAAAUGAGAGCAAAGUGGCGUAAGAAGAGGAUGCGAAGGCUAAAGCGAAAGAGGAGGAAGAUGCGUGCGAGGUCCAAGUAGAUGCCAACAUUUUUCUUCUGUAAGGGAAUUAUUUUACAAAACAUCCACCUUCUAUAAAGUCACCUGAGAAGAACAGUUAUCUCAUUCUUAUUCCCUACAAGCUAUAAAAUAUCGUUUGUACCAAAAGUGAACUUUUUUUUACAGAAGAACAUGUUCAAUUUAAUAAAUUGACCGUGGAAAAUAAA